GGUGAAGGGGCUUUCGAGCGAGGACCCGCCUGGGCCAGCAACAUGGCGGCGUCCAACCGGACCCAGGUGCUGCGGCUGUACCGGGCCCUGUUGCGGGCGAGCCAGCGCUUCACCGCCUACGGCUACAGAACAUAUGCCAUCAGAAGGAUAAGAGAUGCCUUCAGAGAAAACAAACAUCUAAAGGAUUCAGAAGAGAUACAAACAUUAGUGAAUAAAGCAAGAACAAACCUAGAGAUUAUUCAUCGGCAGGUUACAUGACAUUCUUCAUUGUCAUAUGACUAGUUUAUUGGUCUACUCCGACAUCCCAGCAUGUAGCAUGCUGGUAAGAGACAGACCUCUCUGAACUCUGUAGACUACAUUAUGAGAGGUUAGGUUACCAUUGGUCAACUCUAUUCAACCCAGAAACUUGUUAUUGAGAGUCCAGAAAACACAAAGAAUCUGAUCAUCUAGCACUGUUGGACCAUCCUCAGCAUUCUGUAGUGCUGCACAUCAAUAGCAUAUCCAACAUAGUGUGUAUGCACCCUGCCUGAGUUUGAAAAACUUAUCUGUAUAGUAAAAGAUAAAGCUUUUGAGAUGCUCAGUUUUUGGCACCAAAACAGUCUAGAAUUUCUUUUCUCAUGGUUCAUGCACUAAAAUGUAUUGCUAAGCCUACAAUAGCGUGUAAUGUAUUCCUAAUAUCCCCCUUCCUAGUAUUUCAUGUGUAAUGAGGCUGUUUCUUGGCCUUAUUUGACAAUAAAAUUCCAUGAACCGAAUACUUGUAAUCGGAUAUUUUCUUCUCCCAGUGAUCUUGCUAACUUACCUCGCUCAUAAAGGAUACCAAUAAUAUUUCAACCAAUGAUACAAUUGUUUAAAAUUACUUUUUUACAUUGAGGCCCAGUUCAUAUGGAAAUACGCAGCCUACAGUGAAUAAACUAAAUAGCUGAAUUUGUAUGGACUUGGUAUGGGUAAAUUCUUGUUAAAUAAUUUAUUCAUUAAAGCCAUGUGAAAUUUGAUGGAGGCCUUUAAGUAAAACAAAGAUAUUUUGUUAUAUCCUGGACCUCAGCAUUUACAAAUAUCAAAGGUUAGAUUGUGUGUUUUCAUUUAAAGAGCAUUCUCUUUAAAUUUCAAAAAUGUCAGACAAACCUCACUAAUUUUUAUUUUGUUAAUGUGCAACUCAAACUUUCCUGGAAGCUUACCAGUCUCAUCUCACUUCUCAGUGAAUAGCUCAGUAAUAGAAUUUUAGCCUCAUGUUACUGAGACUUCAGAACUUUUAAAAUAAAAUUUCAUCACUGUUCCUUAUUUUAAUAUACUAAACUGCAACUGGCAAUAUAAAGGAACAAAGCAUAUUUUGCUAUACAAAAAAUUUGUAUAUUACCCUUAUUACAGAUACUUGCAAAGUUAGAGAAUUGAGUGUGAUGGUGAGGUUGGUAUAUUUAAUUCAGAAUGCAUACAAAUAUUUUCUCAUUUCUGUUGAGUGUGCAAGUUUCUACAUGCUGGCUCAGUGUCUCAUGCCUGCUCUGCAGGGACUAUCUCUAGAGGCUGAAGGCAGUUCAGUCUUUAUGCCCAUUAGUACUGGAUCCAGUGAAACUCCCAAGGAGGUUGCUUACUGCAUUCUGUUCAUCUUCACUUACUUACAGUAAUGCCACAAAAAAAAGUAAUUUUUAAAAACAGCUAUUUGUUAAACUGAAUAAAUAUAGCCAAUAGCAAACAGACAUUUCUAAAGUUUUCUGUAAUUAUCUAUGGGCCUCAUUCAAUGCACACAUUGAAUAGCAUAUUACAAGAGGUGGGGUUUCUUAAGAGAUUCUCCUAAGCCACCAACUCAGUAGCUUCACCUUAAGAUUCCCCUUUCUUGCAAUGUUCCUGAGCUCUGCAGGAGAGAAAAUUCCUGAACUGCUUUAAAGUGCUUAAUUUUUUUUAAUUUGAAAAGUAAAUUACACCUGUUAAGACAGCGUGCUAAACAAGAAUUGAAUCUUUUUUUAAAAUCAAGUUUUAUUUGGUUCAGUGCUCCGAGUUCGCUACUUAUGUUUCCCACUAGAAUGUACAGAAAAAUUACUCAGUUUAAAGCUUCAGCACAAUGUACAGCAAGACCUUUACAUGAAGUAGUCAGAACUUUAAACUAGGACAGUGCCUGUAACUUUUAAAGAAGCUGCAUUUGUGGAGGCAAAGGGGCAUACUUUCUAUUUCUUUUGUAAACUAGAGAGAGAGUAUCAAAUUGAAAUGACAGAACUAAGCAAUGAACAUAUGUAAGUGAUUAAUUUAGAAGUACUAAUUCCCAAAACUUACUCAUUUAUAAAUAUUGUAUAAUUAUUUGUAGAAUUACCUGCCUUUUAAUAAUAUAGCAUUCUAUUAACUAUGGAAAGAGUAUGCAAAAUAAAGUGCCACUACUGUAUUUAAGACUACAAAACUGCCUUAACACUGCUUUUCACAUGGAAAGCAGAUACUGUAGUAUUUCUCCAUUUGUUAGGUACAUAAAUACAGCAAAUAGAUCAUUUUGCUAUAGCAUUAAUAGAUUUUUUUUAAACUAGGCAGAAUGCCAUGGACUACAGUUUAAAAAAGGCAUUAACACUUUAAAAUCCUAAAAUACACCUAACCAAGCUAAUUAGAACACUAGCAUUGAUAGUAAAAGUACAAGGGGAAAAAAGAUUUACGUGCCACUAAAGCAUUUAAUAGCAUUAAGAUAAUUUUUUGUUUUCUUCAAAUAAAUUUUACAGAAGAAAAUAAUGGCAGGUCCAGCAAUUUGCAUUUGCUAAUAAAAAUUAUACAAGUGUCUUCUGCGACACACAGUGCAGAUACAUUUAUGUUACUUCAACCCUUCCAAGUGUAUGUUUACACUGCAAUUAAAAUCCACAGAUGGCCAGCCAAAUUGGGGGUCACAAAACUCGUGCUAAGGGUCUUUUUAAUUGCACUGUAGACAUUCUGGCUUACUAGAGCCCGGGCUCCAGGACCCUGUGAGGUGGGAGGGUCCCAGGGCUCUGGCUGCAGCCCAAACUUUGACACCGCAAUUAAACAGCACCUUACCCCAAACCCUGUGAGCCCAAGUCAGCUGACACGGGCCAGCCUCAAUAUAGACAUAACCUAUGUCUCUUAUUACCAGUCAGAUUUUCCUAAGAUUGCAUAGGGCACUUAUGGUUUUAAGGAUGCAUAUUGUACAUAUGAUAUGCCAAUUGAAAACAACAUUAACAGAGCGGAGGCCUGUGUGCAUAGAAAUUGUAAUACAAAGUAGGUUGAGAAGGCUCAUUUUAUUUUCUCAUUUGAGGAAUCAGUUACAUAAGACUUCAAGAAGUUAUCCAUGGGCUUCUUAUACAGCAUGACUACAUUGCUUAGUUUUUAAGCUUACCUAAGGAGACUGUUCAAUCAUUAAGCACUAACCAACUUCAGUUAUAUAAAAGAUAUAAAAUUACUUUAUUUAAUAAGGUGCAAAGUUAGAAAAUGAAAUAAUAUAGUACAAUGAUUACUUGUAAAUUGCAACACAAUUAGUGCAUUUAAAGAUGCUCCUUGGAGCUGGUGUUGACAACAGGAAUGUCUGUUCCCUACUGAUGCACAGUAUGUGUAUCUUCUAUUAAUAUUAAUGAUAGUAGCAUGUGCAAAUCUGUUACACAUGACUGGAACAAGAGACCCAUUAAUAUUCUCUGUUAAUGCAUGAUGAUUAGUAUUGCAUUUGUUGAGAUAACAUAUCCCCUGUAUAUAAAAACUAUUGUCAAAUACUGUAUGAAAGUAAUCCCAUCAACUAUGGAAUGAAAAUGUACUACUGUACUUCACUUGGCUCUUUAAAAUGAUGGAGUAUGGAAGGAAAACCUAGUAUUAAUUACACUGCUCAUUUAAAAAUACCCUUUUUUGAGAUUCUAUUUUCACUAGUUAUCCAUGAAAUUGUUUAGUGGAUUUUUGUCUGAGCAAUGUAAACAAGUGAACACUGUCAGUAAAAGGAAUCCCAGUGAUUUAAUUUAAUGUCUCCCUAUUCUAAAAGGGAUGUUUGUUUCUGAUUUACAGCAGAGGAAAAUGUUAAGAACUCUUAUUAAUUCUGUGAGAAUUCUUAAAAUUACCUAGUAAGAUACUAAUUUUUGUAGUAUUACACUGAAAGAUCAUUUGCUUCACACAUGUACCUUCAGCUUUCCCUGAUCUCAGCAACCUUUGACUUCAUUGAUUUGGAAAUGAUGUGGCUCAGUUAUCAUGCUCCAAAAUUUGGCUGUUUACAUAUAUCAAAGGUCAAAUAAGAGCUUUAAAUAGAAAAAUGCAAACAAUAUUCUGAAAGAGAGCAGAAGACAACUUCUGAACUGCCCUAACAUGAUACUGUCUAAAGCAGUGCUACUCAAAGUGGUCGGCUGCCGGUCUGCGCGCACAUUGGGAAAAAAAAUUGCUGGUCCCCCACAUCAGAUAGUUUGAGAAGCACUGGUCUAAAGGACAGGCAAUUCUACAACCCUGUUGACAUCUGAUUAGACAAUCUUACUACAUUUA